GCUUGCUUCAUCAGCAUGUGUAAAAUUGAAACGAUACAGAGAAGAUUAGUAUGGUCCAUGUGCAAAGAUGACAUGUAAAUUCAUGAAGCAUUCCAUAUUUUC